rnacentral:snoRNA from 1 species
GACCCAUGGUGAAGGCACCUUCCUAAUGGAACCUUGUAUCUCUCCCAUGCAUCAUAGAGUGUUUCUAGAUCCAUCUGCAUAAAAGAAGAGAUAUCAUUCCUCAACUU